rnacentral:rRNA from 1 species
AGUGAACGCUGGCGGUAGGCCUAACACAUGCAAGUCGAACGGCAGCACAGUAAGAGCUUGCUCUUACGGGUGGCGAGUGGCGGACGGGUGAGGAAUACAUCGGAAUCUACUUUUUCGUGGGGGAUAACGUAGGGAAACCUACGCUAAUACCGCAUACGACCUACGGGUGAAAGCAGGGGAUCUUCGGACCUUGCGCGAGUGAAUGAGCCGAUGUCGGAUUAGCUUGUUGGCGGGGUAAAGGCCCACCAAGGCGACGAUCCUUAGCUGGUCUGAGAGGAUGAGCAGCCACACUGGAACUGAGACACGGUCCAGACUCCUACGGGAGUCAGCAGUGGGGAAUAUUGGACAAUGGGCGCAAGCCUGCUCCAGCCAUGCCGCGUGGGUGAAGAAGGCCUUCGGGUUGUAAAGCCCUUUUGUUGGGAAAGAAAAGCAGCAGGUUAAUCCCCCGCUGUUCUGACGGUACCCAAAGAAUAAGCACCGGCUAACUUCGUG